rnacentral:misc_RNA from 1 species
GAAAUGCGAUAAGUAAUGUGAAUUGCAGAAUUCAGUGAAUCAUCGAAUCUUUGAACGCACCUUGCGCUCCUUGGUAUUCCGAGGAGCAUGCCUGUUUGAGUGUCAUGAAACCCUCAAACCCAAGUUUUGGAUUUCGAUCCAUGCUAGAGUUUGGAUUUGGAUGUUUGCCGGUGAUGAACCGACUCAUCUUAAAAGUAUUAGCUUUGAUCUGUCUAUUAGACUUGUUUGACUUGGCAUAAUUAGGAUUUUGCUGAAGACAUCUUCGGAUGGCCAGGAACUAGACUACUGUCUGCUAACUAAACCAUCACUUUAAGUGCAUCUUUGGAUGUUACUCAUUGUGUAACUUUGACAUCUGGCCUCAAAUCAAGUAGGACUACCCGCUGAACUUAA